rnacentral:snoRNA from 1 species
GGGGCGGUUAUUUGACCCGCUGUGCCGAUCCAUACUACGGCCUGAGGGAUGAAACACCGCCCCACAGUGACGCUCCGGAUUCACUUUACCCCCGCCAGGCCGCAACACAACCGGCCCGGGGGCCAUUCUUCCCGGCGACAUUC